rnacentral:rRNA from 1 species
GAUGAACGCUGGCGGCGUGCCUAAUACAUGCAAGUCGAGCGAACAGAUAAGGAGCUUGCUCCUUUGACGUUAGCGGCGGACGGGUGAGUAACACGUGGGUAACCUACCUAUAAGACUGGGAUAACUCCGGGAAACCGGGGCUAAUGCCGGAUAAUAUUUAGAACCGCAUGGUUCUAAAGUGAAAGAUGGUUUUGCUAUCACUUAUAGAUGGACCCGCGCUGUAUUAGCUAGUUGGUAAGGUAACGGCUUACCAAGGCAACGAUGCAUAGCCGACCUGAGAGGGUGAUCGGCCACACUGGAACUGAGACACGGUCCAGACUCCUACGGGAGGCAGCAGUAGGGAAUCUUCCGCAAUGGGCGAAAGCCUGACGGAGCAACGCCGCGUGAGUGAUGAAGGUCUUCGGAUCGUAAAACUCUGUUAUUAGGGAAGAACAAAUGUGUAAGUAACUGUGCACGUCUUGACGGUACCUAAUCAGAAAGCCACGGCUAACUACGUG